AACGAACGCUGGCGGCAUGCCUAACACAUGCAAGUCGAACGAGACCUUCGGGUCUAGUGGCGCACGGGUGCGUAACGCGUGGGAACCUGCCCUUAGGUUCGGAAUAACUCCCCGAAAGGGGGUGCUAAUACCGGAUAAUGUCUUCGGACCAAAGAUUUAUCGCCUUUGGAUGGGCCCGCGUUGGAUUAGCUAGUUGGUAGGGUAAAAGCCUACCAAGGCGACGAUCCAUAGCUGGUCUGAGAGGAUGAUCAGCCACACUGGGACUGAGACACGGCCCAGACUCCUACGGGAGGCAGCAGUGGGGAAUAUUGGACAAUGGGCGAAAGCCUGAUCCAGCAAUGCCGCGUGAGUGAUGAAGGCCUUAGGGUUGUAAAGCUCUUUUACCCGGGAUGAUAAUGACAGUACCGGGAGAAUAAGCUCCGGCUAACUCCGU
rnacentral:rRNA from 1 species